GAAAACCCGGAUCCAUUGCUUCCUCUGAAAUCAAACCCUAAUUUUGCCCCCAAACGAAUUGGAACGCAGUCAAACUCGAUUUCUAAUUCGAGUUGCGCCGAUUCUAGGGAUCUAAUCUGCCAUUUCCAGGUGAGUUUUGCAUGUUUAUGAGCGUGUAUUAUAAAAAAUGUAUUAUCAAAGAUGUCCCAUCCUUGAGCGGAUACAAUUUUGGUUAUCAAGGAUGUCCCCUCCGGUUCAUGAAUCUCCAUAUGGAAGAGGACUUGGGCUGAUGCCCCAUCCAGCAUUAGCGAGGACCUCCUCAUAACCUCAGUUUCAGAUCGAAGCUCCAUCCUCCUUGCUUCAUUUGUAAUACACACAGAGAAGGGAAGCAAAUGCUUUUAUACUUCUGCCAGAUUCUGUCUGAUGGGUGAUGAGUCCAUCAGGAUCGGUCGUAACUUUCCCCAAUGGAAUGGGCUUAUCAGUUAUAUUCGACUCGAAGCCUCGCAGGUAGGUAAGAGCAUUUGAAAAUUCUUUAUACUUAUUUCUAUGAUUAUAUGUAUUUUUUUUCCCAAAUCUAGAUACAGCUUCUUUUGCUGUCACACGUGAUGCGACUCUUCGGUCUCACUAAUGUCAUUCCAUAUAAUUAAAUAACGUUA
rnacentral:sRNA from 1 species